rnacentral:tRNA from 1 species
GGAGUUGUGGCUCAGUGGUAGAGCGCUUACCUAGCACAUGUGAGGCACUGAGUUCAAUCCUCAGCACCA